CCGGCCCUAGCUCAGCGGCCAGAGCGCUCGGCUGUAGACCGAGAUGUCCAGAGACAAUUGUUCAACUGUGAAUAAUUGCUGGAAUUCAAAUCUCUGGGGCCGGACCA
rnacentral:tRNA from 1 species